rnacentral:tRNA from 1 species
AACGUAGCUCAGCUGGUAGAGCAACUGAUUUGUAAUCAGUAGGUCGCAGGUUCGGGUCCUGUCGUUGGC